rnacentral:snRNA from 1 species
GGAUGUGAGGGUGAUUUGGCUGGGACAUCUGUCAGACCAAUGAUUGCCAGAGUUGAUUCAGCUGAUCUGGCUGGCUAGGUGGGUGUCCCCUUCCUCUCUCACUGCUCCAUGUGCAUCCCUCCUGGAGCUGUGUGCUUGUUCAAAGAGGACGACCUUCCUCGGUUGAGGAGGACAGUUCUUCGGUCAAGGGUAUACGAGUAGCUGCGCUCCCCUGCUAGAACCUCCAAACAAGCUCUCAAGGUCCAUUUGUAAGAGAACAUAGGGUAGUCAAGCUUCCAAGACUCCAGACCCACCCAAAU